UAUAUGAAGCAUCUACUUCACGCUUCAACAUUAAAGAACAGAAUUUUUGAAACUCCAGGCCAGAAGACUGAAACAGAGGCAGUGGCCAUCUUUGAUGGAAAAUGAUACAAGAGACCGAGACGUGCGGCUUUAUGAAGUUCUCCUUCUCUCACCAAUAACAAAAUCGCCUUGAGGUCCUGUGCGUGAGAUUGCUUUCUCUGCUUACGGAAGAAUCCAACUCAGCUCUCUGGUG
rnacentral:lncRNA from 1 species